UGUUUGCUUAAUUAGCUGUUUAUGCUGCUGCAAAAAUGUGUGGGGCUGUGCUUUGAAGCUGUCUUUGAUUUUGAGUUGAGGUGAAAAGAACUUAUGAGGCGCUUGGAUUAUGAAAUUGCGUUUUGAGGAUAUGGGCGCUGAAGUUACGCAGAGCUUAUUUAAUUGUUGUUGUGAUGCUCUAUAUUGUUUUAGUUAUGGUUUAUUGUAUCCUCGCCUUUCUCUUGACAUAAUCUG